UACAACUUUCAACAACGGAUCUCUUGGCUCUCGCAUCGAUGAAGAACGCAGCGAAAUGCGAUAAGUAAUGUGAAUUGCAGAAUUCAGUGAAUCAUCGAAUCUUUGAACGCAU
rnacentral:rRNA from 1 species